CGGGACGGGUGAGUAAUGUGUGGAACUGCCUGAUGGAGGGGGAUAACUACUGGAAACGGUAGCUAAUACCGCAUAAUGUCUGCGGACCAAAGCGGGGGACCUCCGGGCCUCGCGCCAUCAGAUGAACCCAUAUGGGAUUAGCUAGUAGGUAAGGUAACGGCUUACCUAGGCGACGAUCCCUAGCUGGUCUGAGAGGAUGAUCAGCCACACUGGGACUGAGACACGGCCCAG
rnacentral:rRNA from 1 species